CAAAACGACUCUCGGCAACGGAUAUCUCGGCUCUCGCAUCGAUGAAGAACGUAGCGAAAUGCGAUACUUGGUGUGAAUUGCAGAAUCCCGUGAACCAUCGAGUCUUUGAACGCCAAGUUGCGCCCGACGCCAUUAGGCCGAGGGCACGUCUGCCUGGGCGUC
rnacentral:rRNA from 1 species